rnacentral:rRNA from 1 species
CGAACACUGGCGGCGUGGAUUAGGCAUGCAAGUCGAACGAGAAAGCUCCCUUCGGGGAGUGAGUAGAGUGGCGAACGGGUGAGUAACGCGUGGGAAACCUGCCCUUCAGCGGGGGAUAACAGUUCUAACGAGCUGCUAAUACCGCAUACGACCUCUUGACCGCAUGAUCGAGAGUUGAAAGCUGGCCUCUUCUUGAAAGCUAGCACUGAAGGAUGGUCCCGCGUCCCAUUAGCUUGUUGGUGGGGUAAAGGCCUACCAAGGCGACGAUGGGUAGCCGGCCUGAGAGGGUGUCCGGCCACACUGGGACUGAGAUACGGCCCAGACUCCUACGGGAGGCAGCAGUCGAGAAGCUUCGGCAAUGGGCGAAAGCCUGACCGAGCGACGCCGCGUGAGCGAUGAAGGCCCUAGUGGUUGUAAAGCUCUGUCAGAUUGGGACGAAAACUUGGCGGUUAAUACCCGUCAAGCUUGACGGUACCUUCAGAGGAAGCACCGGCUAACUAC